CUACGGGAUGCUGCAGCUGCGAAUUUUUUACAAUGCACGAAAGUGUGAUAAAGCGAGCCAAAGUGCUUAUCAUGUGAUAAGCUUUUCUUCGGUGUAAAAACCCGGAGGAAUAAGGACUGGGAAAGACCGGUGCCAGCCGCCGCGGUAAUACCGGCAGUUCGAGUGGCAUCCAACUUUAUUGGGUCUAAAACAUCCGUAGCUUGUUUGUUAAGUCUUUUGUGAAAUCUCAUGUCUCAAGCAUGGGGCUUGCGGAAGAUACUGGCAGACUAGAGACCGGUAGACGUAAAGAGUACGGCCAAGGUAAUGGUAAAAUAUGUUAAUCUUGGUUGGACUAACGAUUAGCGAAGGCACUUUACGAGGACGGAUCUGACAGUGAGGGAUGAAGGCCAGGGGCGCAAAACGGAUUAGAUACCCUCGUAGUC
rnacentral:rRNA from 1 species